AUUGAACGCUGGCGGCAGGCUUAACACAUGCAAGUCGAGCGGGGGAAGGUAGCUUGCUACCGGACCUAGCGGCGGACGGGUGAGUAAUGCUUAGGAAUCUGCCUAUUAGUGGGGGACAACAUCUCGAAAGGGAUGCUAAUACCGCAUACGUCCUACGGGAGAAAGCAGGGGAUAUUCGGACCUUGCGCUAAUAGAUGAGCCUAAGUCGGAUUAGCUAGUUGGUGGGGUACAGGCCUACAAAGGCGACGAUCUGUAGCGGGUCUGAGAGGAUGAUCCGCCACACUGGGACUGAGACACGGCCCAGACUCCUACGGAAGGCAGCAGUGGGGAAUAUUGGACAAUGGGGGGAACCCUGAUCCAGCCAUGCCGCGUGUGUGAAGAAGGCCUUAUGGUUGUAAAGCACUUUAAGCGAGGAGGAGGCUACUCUAGUUAAUACCUAGGGAUAGUGGACGUUACUCGCAGAAUAAGCACCGACUAACUCUGUGCCAGCAGCCGCCGUAA
rnacentral:rRNA from 1 species